AUGGGGACACAGCUGGACGCGCACUCCUGGCGGGGUCACCGCAAGGGCUCCGGGAUGGGGCCCAUGAGGCCUGGGGGCGGCAGGAAGGGGCUGGCGGGUUCCAGGCGAGGAUGGGAAAAGCAGGGCCGGUGGCCGUCCCCACAGGGCCAUUUGCAGCCGCAGGUCACAGGUCGAGGGCCGUGUCCCUGGAGGCCCCAGGUCGGCAAGGCGGGAAAGCCAUUAGGCUGCCCGAGGGGUGGGGGGGAGGGAACGGGGGGCUGGGGGUUGUGCAAGGGCCCCCGGGGCUCAGAGAGGCACAGACGCACACGCACGCGCCACAUGUGUGCACACCGUCACACACACAUAGACAGACACACUCACACAGACACAGUCACACGCACUCAGCAGUCACAGCUGCAAAUGUGUCCCCCGUCGCACGCACACACAUGCGCACAGGCCCCCAGUGUGAAAACGCUGGCGCACAGACACAGACCACAUGCGCACACGCAGCAGCGCACACGCCCGGCCCCCGCCCGCGUCCUUGGCCCCGACCCCCUGACCCUGCGCGCAGAUAAGGAGCGGCCGCGCCCGAUCAAGGAGGCCGCAGCACCGGGCACCGAGCCGGCGCACCUGCCCCGACGAGGGGAGAGAGGGCGGGACGCAGGGAGCUGGAGGGAGGGGGGCGGGGGGGGCAGAGACAUGCAGAGACAGAGAUGCAGACAGAGAUGCAGAGACAGAGAUGCAGACAGAGAUGCAGAGAGACAGAGAUGCAGAGAGACAUGCAGAGACAGAGGUGCAGAGAGACAUGCAGAGAGACAUGCAGAGACAGAGGUGCAGAGAAAGAUGCAGAGACAGAGAUGCAGAGACAGAGAUGCAGAGAGAGAUGCAGAGACAGAGAUGCAGAGAGAGAGAUGCCGAGAGAGAUGUAGAGAGACAGAGAUGCAGAGAGAGACGCAGAGAGAGAGAUGCAGAGACAGAGAUGCAGAGACAGAUGCAGAGAGACAUGCAGAGACAGAGGUGCAGAGAAAGAUGCAGAGACAAAGAUGCAGAGACAGAGAUGCAGAGAGACAGAGAUGCAGAGAGAGAUGCAGAGACAGAGAUGCAGAGACAGAGAUGCAGACAGAGAUGCAGAGAGACAGAGAUGCAGAGAGAGAGAUGCAGAGACAGAGAUACAGACAGAGCUGCAGAGAGACAGAGAUGCAGAGACAGAGAUGCAGACAGAGAUGCAGAGAGAGAUGCAGAGAGACAGAUGCAGAGAGAGAUGCAGAGACAGAGAUGCAGAGAGACAGAGAUGCAGAGAGAGACACAGAGAGACAGAGAUGCAGAGAGAGACGCAGAGAGACAGAUGCAAAGAGAGAGACAGAGGGAGAGAGAAAGAGAGAAAUGUGGAGACAAGACAUGGAGGGAGAGUGA
rnacentral:lncRNA from 1 species